rnacentral:misc_RNA from 1 species
GAUGAAGAACGUAGCGAAAUGCGAUACGUAAUGUGAAUUGCAGAAUUCAGUGAAUCAUCGAAUCUUUGAACGCAUAUUGCGCUCUCUGGUAUUCCGGAGAGCAUGCUUGUUUGAGUAUCAGUAAACACCUCAACUCCCUUUUCUUUUUUGAAAUUGGAGCUGGACUUGAGUGAUCCCAACGCUUUCUUCCAAGAAAGUGGCGGGUUGCUUGAAAUGCAGGUGCAGCUGAACUUUUCUCUGAGCUAUAAGCAUAUCUAUUUAGUCUGCCUAAAAAACAGAUUAUUACCUUUGCUGCAGCUAACAUAAAGGAGACUAGUUCUUGUGCCGACUGAUGCAGGAUUCACAGAGACAGCUUCGGCUGACUUUGUAAACUCGAUCUCAAAUCAAGUAAGACUACCCGCUGAACUUAAGCAUAUCAAUAAGCGGAGGA